UGCCCCAAAAACAAACAUGUGCCUUUGGAUCCAGCAUAUUACUCUGGACUGUUCAGUGACAUGCGUAGAGUUGUGUAGCUUAAGCCAGUUUGAGCUGGGUUUUCUGUCACUCUCAUCUAAAGGAUUCUGACACAUACAGAUGAACUGACAUGUCCUAUGGCUAGAAUGGAAUGUGAAUCUUGCUAAUCUCGCUACUUCAGAGAAGGCAUGGGGAGGAGAGGUGGCCGAUUUCACUGUAGUCUUGGUUAUGUCUUCAGCCAGUUGGGACUGCUGGGAGAACCGUGUCAUCUUUCUGAGUCCUAGUGUACUUGUACGUCAAAUGAGAGAGGCGAAGAUCCUUAUACCCAUUGUCAAGAUAGGGGAAAUGGAGUCACCGUGUGACUGUGUAAUAUGCUUGAGUUACUGCUAAUGGCUCUGGGAUCCACAGUGAGUUAGCCACUGCUUUGGAAUACAAAUCUGACAUCCACGACGCCUAACUCCUGCCUUUCCACCAACUGUCACUCAAGUUUCAUCUCAAAAUCUCCAUAUCAAUCCCCAUUUUCAUGUCAUCUCUAUUCACACCUACCCUUGGCAAGAUUUCGUUAGUGUCGUGUGUGAAUUCCACAUGACUGUGGAAGGUGAGCAAAUCACAGAGAUAAGGAAAACAGGGAAAAAGUUUUUUGAGACUCCACUUACAUUCUUUGGACAUUCCCACUUCAAAGCACUUCUGGAGUCGACAGUAUUGGCAUCGAUUCCUGGUGACUUUAUUAAUAACACAGUUCUUAUCUCGGUGACAAGUGUAAAUCAUAUUCUUCUGAAUACUUCUGCGGAAAAAGCCCUGCAAGCAAGCAAGAAGAUGAAAAAACUCAGUAAAGCAAAUGAGCUUCAUCAGAAAUCAAAGCCAACCUUAUCAAUGCAUUAAUUGCUCUUUUUGAGUAACGAAGUGAUGGCAGCAGAAAAGUUAACUUACAUAAACCUUAAAAUCCUCGUGAGAUAUCAAUAGUUUCUUCCUUUGUUGCAAACCCAAAAGCCCCUUUUAAUCAAAACUAGACAUGACCAUUAUUAUCUUGCUAAAGGAAAGUUAAUUCCAAGCUGAUUUACUUGGAAAACACCAGAGUUGGGUUCCCUCCAAACAGGCUUAGCUUCAUAACUGGCUCCCUUGCUGACGAGAACAAUUUCAGAUGAGCGCACUACCAAGAAAACCAAUAUAUGAGGAUUUUUACCCAAUAAAAGAAAUUACUGGCUGGGUGCAGUGGCUCACUCCUGUAAUCCCAGCACUUUGGGAGGCUGAGGCAGGAGGAUCAUUUGAGGUAAGGAGUUUGAGACCAGCCUGGCUAACAUGGUGAAACCCUGUCUCUACUAAAAAAUACAAAAAUUAGCAGGCACAGUUGUGCGUGCCUGUAAUCCCAGCCCUUGGGAGGCUGAGGCAGGAGAAUUGCGUGAACCUGGGAGGCAGAGGUUGCAGUGAGCUGAGAUUGUGCCACCGCACUCCAGUCUGGGUGACAGAGUGAGACUCUGUCUCAACAACAACAACAACCAAAAAAAAAAAAAAAAAAAAAAAAAAACAAGAAAAGAAAGAAAAAGAAAUUAUUUGCCUAAUGCAAGAGUUAGUUUUUUCAAAGGAGUCUUCUCUGAGUUCUUUUACAUAGCUCCUCUCACAACAUUUAAAAUACAAUUUAAAAAAAUUAUCCAAAAUUGGAAACAAGAAAUAAAAAUGAGUGUCUGCCCAUUUAAUGGCAUGUUAGAGCUAUGUCGUCCAACAUGGUAGCUAUUAGUCACAUGAGGCUACUUAAAUCAAAAUUAAUGAAAAGUAAAUAAAAUUAAGAAUUCAGUUCUUUAGUUACAUUAGCUACAUUUCAAAUGCUGAAGAGCCACAUCUGGCCCAUAGCUACCAUAUUAAACACCACAUAUACAAAAUAUUUUCAUCAUUGCAGAAAGCGUUACCGGGUAGUAAUGUACUACAGCACUGACUGACAAGCCCAUCGAAGUGUCAUCUAACACUCACAGGAAAUAUAACUUUGUUUGACUUACUUUUUACUAUUGAUUGGACCCAGAUUCUAUACAGACUGUAGAAAAUUGGUAAAUUACACAUAAUUUUUGUCUAGUGUAGGUGCAAAACAUUUCUGACCAGAUGAACAAUAACCCCAAAUAUUAUUGUUUUAUUGCCCUGUAGGAAAUGAACCAUUUUGUAUCUAGCUUUGCAAUCUUAUUCCGGUAUUCUCUUUUCCUUCCCUCCUUUCUCUCUCGUUUUCUAUCUACCUGAAUAUCUUUCUCAUAUCCUCCUUUAAACCAGCUUUGUCAUCCUACUAUUCCCUUCAUCAAUGAGUUAAAUAAAUUUUUGGCAUGUGUUUACUAAACAAACACUUGAAAGAGUUUUUUGCUUUUUAACUUUUUGAAAAUCACAUUUUGACAAAAGAAGCAAUUUAUCCUGAUUUUCUGGGAAACACCGAUGAAAUAAAGCAGACUUCAGGCUCCAGAAGAAAGGGUCCCCAACUUCCUCUUUGUCUUCCCCGUUUCUACAUACAGCUUUGCAGACAAUGGAUGAUCAAGUGAUGCUUGCCGAAUACACAGAUGAAGGGUAUACCUGCUGCCUUUUCUCUCUUCUGAAUGCCCAAGAAAAACUUCCACAUUGCUAUGAGUAUUAAGAGUGAGGAAGUCUACUUUACCAGUUGUGAUGUGACUUAUACCUACACGAGAAACUACUCUCUUGAAUGUAAGAAACACAUCAUCAAAUGUGUUGAACAGAAACUAAGCCCCACCAUCUGAGUUCAACUUUCCCUGCAGUACAUUAACACUGCAGGAGCCAGAGCUAAGAACGUUCAAAGCUAAAGCACAUUAGCAAAGAAUGCUCAUGUAACACACAUUGCUUAGGAUACUUACGUGGGCACCCUAGGAUUUUAAUGUCUAAAUAAGCAUAUUUUUACUGGCAUGGUUCAACUAUAAGUGCCUGGAAAUCUUGUUUAAGGUUGCAAGUCCUGUCACAUAUCCCAGACACACACAUUUUCCAAGAAAACACAGUUUAUUUUUGUGCCACUGGAACUACAAAUGUGCUUAGAAUCUAAAAUAACAGGUUACAAAUACUGUGAAAUCCUCCCAGAAUCUGUGCAGAGUGGUCAUCUAAAAACAUAUCUUUCCCUACAAAAAAUAUAACUGUGGGCCACUUUCUGCUGCCAGAUGUAGAAACUCAGUUUACAGAAACCUCCAUCGCUCUUCUGCCGAGAAACAUUAACACAAUGGAAAACAUGGUCUUUUAUAUACGUGGGAAGAAAAUGAGGUAUGGACAAAGGUGACCCCCUCCAUUUAUUUUAUUAAAAACCAAAUUUUUAGUUCAGCAAACACUUAGUCAGUGACCAGAAAGGAGAGAAGAACAAUCUCACGAUGCUCAAAUGAAAGAAGACCAGAGAAUUAAAGAACUUUAUGUCACUAAUUGCCCAGUCAGUGUGAUUCAGUAACAAUGAUGGCAGAAACUAAAUAGGACUUCUUGGUUUUCCAAAUCAGAUUUUUGGCUGGAUUUCAGGAGAAGGUCUAAGUUUCAGUAAAUCAUUUCCACCAUGCUAGAAUACUUGCUGGCUAAAAUAUAUGCUAUGAGGUAUUUUUAUACGUGGGUUGAGUAAACAGACGUGCCCUCCAAGCCGAAUAGAGGUUUGCAUCAUAAAAAUUCUCCUCCUCCUUCAUUGAUAUUAUGAGUUUAUACAAACCUCACUCCCUUGUAGACCACUGCUUUGAGGACCCAGAGUGUGUGGCGGGUAGGGGGUGGGGGCAGUUAUCCUCAUACACCUAAAGUUUACUUAGCUAAUAUUUCAAUUUAGGUUGACUCCUCCUUCUAUUUUUGACACUAUUUAAAGUGGAAACCAUUUAUCUCUGGCUUACUUGGAAAACCAGACCAACUGUCAAUAUUAGAAGGUACUCAUGAAAUAAGAGAAAUGCAAAUAAUACAAUAAUCAGAUGUCAUUUCACUCAUACUGGACACUGUGUCUGCUGCAGGCCAGGAGCCCCAGCCCUCCUCACUUCUUGCUGAAAAGGGAGCUUGGCCAGCAUGAGACACACAUCAGCACUGACUCAAGAUUUUCUGUUUGAGGAAUUCAGAGAAAAAAAAUAAGCUUCUUACUAUGUGACUGAUUUAAAGCCAUGGAUCUUUCCCACCUAAAAUUAGAACCCCCAAACUUCAGGACAAAGUUUGGGACAGUUAUUGAAGCCAAGGGAUGGUUAGACACAUCUGGAGAAGAGGAGGUUCAAAAGUUGAGCGUGUACAGAGGAUGAAUUCAGUCCCAUUUGGAGGAGCAACCUGAGAGGAGAGAGUGGAGGUAGCAUAGGUCGAGCCCUGGAUUAGGAGUUGAACGCCUGGGCUGCAAGCUCCUCAUGGUCACUGAGAGGACUUGAGCAAGUCACAACCAUCUGGGACUAAGCUCUCUCUUCCCCUGAAUGAGGGAUUGGGCAGUUUACUUGGAAGGUCCUCUCCAGCCACAAAUUUCUGGGAUUCCAAGUGUGUCAUCACACCAGGAAGUGAUGAGUUGGGUACCUAGAGAGUGAGACUUGGGGAGUUUCUGCGGGCAAAGAAAUUGGCGAAAGAAGAGGUGGUAUUUUGGCGAAAGAAGAGGUGGUAUUUGCAGACUAAGGAAAGAGAGACUGUCUAUCUGCAUGGGCAAGAAUAGCAACUUCUGGAAACCAGCCUGUGGCUUAAAGGACACCAUCAUGAGGGCUUUUAUAUUCAUCUUAGAACUGAGUCAUCGUAACACCUCUGAGGGCCUCAGGCAGGUAUCUGUGCUGCACUGAAGUUGGAAUGUUUCAAUACUAUCCCAAGAGAUUGUGGCUAGAAGUCUUAAGACCUGGUUUUCGGCCAGGCGCGGUGGCUCACCCCUGUAAUCCCAGCACUUUGGGAGGCCAAGGUGGGCGGAUCACCUGAGGGUCGGGAGUUCGAGACCAGCCUGACCAACGUGGAGAAAGCCCGUCUCUACUAAAAAUACAAAAUUAGCCAGGCAUGGUGGCGCAUGCCUGUAAUUCCAGCUACUCGGGAGGCUGAGGCAGGAGAAUCGCUUGAACCCGGGAGGCAGAGGUUGCAGUGAGCUGAGAUUGUGCCACUGCACUCCAGCUUGGGUAACAAGAGUGAAACUCCGUCUCAAAAAGCAAACAAACAAACAAAAAAACAACACCUGGUUUUCUGCUACCAACUCUGGAACUGCUGACACCGUAAUGGUACUCUUUCAUUUUCUGGGAACUUCCUUUUCUCAGUAAACCCAGGAAAAUUCUAUGAGGUCACUUGGCCAGGAAGCCUUCUCUGACUGAUCUAAGCAUACAUGGAUGCUUCCUCUCCUAGGCAAUCAUGGUAUUUUGCUUUUCCUUCCAUGUUAUACCUAUUCAAGGAUGAUACUUAAAGUCUAAAACAAUACCACUGUCUGCUUUAGAGGUUACAUAGGUGACAUGGGGGAAUGCCAACCUGUGGCUGGUGGCCCCAGCCUCAGGGAGCCCAAUAGGCACUGUGCAUUUAUCCAUUAAGGUGUCUCAGUGCCAUCAAGUGUGCCACCUUCCUUGCCGAUACUCAUGCCUCCCUGACAGGGGAGUAGGAUAGGUAUAAAGGCUGGUUCCUAGGAACCUGAGCUGACAAGUUGGUGGACUCAAGGUGGCCUCCAGGCAGUGCCAAAUAUGACACCCCUGGAACUAAGACAGUACAGUUGGAUGGAGGAAGGGAAGACCCAAGGCAACGGUCAGGCAAAAACUGGCAGGAAAAUGUUUCAAUUUUUCAACACCUAAUAAAUUGUACUGGGACACACCAGCUGAAUAGCUCAGGGCUGGGACAGAACCCAACACACAGAAGAUAUUCAAAUAAUAAUUGUUGACUAACAACUGUUAGUCAAUUGUAAUUGUAAUUGUUGAUGAAGUCCUAGCUAUAACCAGAGCCAUAGUAACCGUCUUGGAUUAUACCUUAGUUUCUUAAAUGUAUUCCUUGAGGGUGAUAUCAUUUGUAUUUACGCAAUUAAACAAUCAGAUUUCUCAGCUGUUAGUAGCAGAC
rnacentral:lncRNA from 10 species